GGGCUUACAAUGGAUACUUAGGCACCCAUAGAAGAGAAAGGGUUUGGUAAGUGACGAAAUGCUUCGGGGAGUUGAAAAUGAGCAUAGAUCUGGAGAUUCCUAAAUAGGUUAACCUUUUUAACUACUACUGAAUCCAUGGGCAGGAAAGAGACAACCUGACGAACUGAAACAUCUUAGUCUCUAGAGGAAUAGAAAGGAAAAGUGAUUCUCGUAGUAGUGGCGAGUGAAAUGGGAACAACCUAAACUGUGAAAAUGGGGUUGUGGGAGAGCACAAUAUAAUCUUUAUGCUUCUAGGAAAAAUGAUUGAGUCUUACAAAUCAUUGAGUCUAGUAGCCAAAAACAUCAUUGGAUUAUGCUCUAACUUGAGUAACAUGGGGCACAUGGAAUCCCAUGUGAAUCAACAAGAACCAUCUUGAAAGGAUAAAUACUCCUAGGUGACUGACAAAAAAGUACUACCAUAAGGGGAAAGUGAAAAGAACCUCCAUCAAGGAGAAAUAGAACAUGAAACCAUAAGCUC
rnacentral:ncRNA from 1 species